rnacentral:lncRNA from 1 species
GAAAAACAAGGAGGCUCAAAUUAUGCUACGUUGAUAUCUGUAGAUUGCUCAGUAUUGUCCAGGACCGUGGGAGUGCAUGAGUGAGAAUGGGGGGCUCUGGUUCCACUUCCUUGUUUUAUAGGCGAGGAAACUGAGGCACAGAGACAUUUCCUGCUCAAGGUUCAUAGCUGUUCAGUCCAGGUCCUGAUAGCUGCUCAGUCCCGGUCCUCAUAGCUGCUCAGUCCCAGUCCUCAUAGCUGUCAGUCCAGGUCCUCAAAGCUGUCAGUCCAAGUCCUCAGAGCUGUUCAGUCCAAGUCCUCAUAGCUGUCAGUCCAGGUCCCCAGAGCUGUCAGUCCAGGUCCUCAUAGCUGCUCAGUCCAGGUCCUCAUAGCUGUCAGUCCAGGUCCUCAAAGCUGUCAGUCCAGGUCCUCAUAGCUGUCAGUCCAGGUCCUCAGAGCUGUCAGUCCAGGUCCUCAUAGUUGCUCAGUCCAGGUCCUCAGAACUGUCAGUCCAGGUCCUCAUAGCUGUCAGUCCAGGUCCUCAGAGCUGUCAGUCCAGAUCCUCAUAGCUGUCAGUCCAGGUCCUCACAGCUGCUCAGUCCAGGUCCUCACAGCUGUCAGUCCAGGUCCUCUGCCUCCAGUAUGCAGAACGCUGCACCUGGGAGGAGGAAGCCUCCAUCUGUGGCUCUCAGCUCCCUCUUCAUCCAUGAAGGGAGCAGUCGGCGAGUGUGAGUGGGUGUCCAGGCUGCCUCCUGGGGCUUCAUGCUUUUUAAAAAAUAUCCAC